GGCUUCGUUGCUCAGCUGGUGGGGCGCUUGCCGCGUUGCGGCAUGGUGUUUCUGUUGCUAGUUCAAAUCCAGUCGAAGCCC
rnacentral:tRNA from 1 species